rnacentral:rRNA from 1 species
AGAGAGAGACAUGCGCGCAUAUCAAUAAGCGGAGGAAAAGAAACUAACAAGGAUUCCCUUAGUAACGGCGAGUGAAGCGGGAAGAGCUCAAAUUUGAAAUCUUCAAGGUUCUACCUUGACGAAUUGUAGUUUAUAGAAGUGUUUUCUGUUAGUGGAGUGGCAAAAGUUCUUUGGAAUAGGACAUCAUAGAGGGUGAGAAUCCCGUAUUUGGUCAUUCCUCCUAGCGUUGUGAUACACUUUCAACGAGUCGGAUUGUUUGGGAAUGCAGUCCAAAAUGGGUGGUAAAUUUCAUCUAAAGCUAAAUAUUGGCGAGAGACCGAUAGCGAACAAGUACCGUGAGGGAAAGAUGAAAAGAACUUUGAAAAGAGAGUUAAACAGUACGUGAAAUUGUCAAAAGGGAAGCGUUUGACACCAGUGUUGUUUUUCCGAAAAUCAAUUACGAAUGUUUUAUUUUUGAGGAGUUAUGACUUCAUCGGCUUGCUCCUUUCUUUAUGAAACUUUCUUAAUGCACUUUUCGGUUAACAAGUCAACAUCAAUUUCUUUUGUUGUAAAAGGGUAUGAGGAAGGUGGCUUUCUUUUCGGAGAAAGUGUUUAUAGCCUUGUGCCUCUGCAAUCGGAGAGAUUGAGGUCUGCAGCGUAGAUCCUUCGGGGUUAGAUACGUUUGUGCUAAGUUAUAGCUUUUCAUAGACAACUUGUUGACUAUGUUUAGUCUUGUAGCUUACUCGCUGACGCUAUUUUACCUACGCUUAGGAUGUUGAUAGUCACAGCGUGUA